GCAAACUUGGUCAUUUAGAGGAAGUAAAAGUCGUAACAAGGUCUCCGUAGGUGAACCUGCGGAGGGAUCAUUAUUAGAGUUAUACAACUCCAAACCCACUGUGAAUUUAUUUGUGUUUAGUUCCUUUGGCAGGCGGCUCCUGGGAGGAGUCUGUAGCCGGCUGCGGUGCCUGCCGAAGGAGCGUUCUCAACUCUUGCAUUAUCAGCUGUCUGAGUUAUAAUAAAUAAAAUCAAAACUUUCAACAACGGAUCUCUUGGUUCUGGCAUCGAUGAAGAACGCAGC
rnacentral:misc_RNA from 1 species